UACGAAGGGGGCUAGCGUUGCUCGGAAUCACUGGGCGUAAAGCGCACGUAGGCGGCUUUCUAAGUCAGGGGUGAAAUCCUGGAGCUCAACUCCAGAACUGCCUUUGAUACUGGCGAUCUCGAGUCCGGGAGAGGUGAGUGGAACUGCGAGUGUAGAGGUGAAAUUCGUAGAUAUUCGCAAGAACACCAGUGGCGAAGGCGGCUCACUGGCCCGGUACUGACGCUGAGGUGCGAAAGCCAGGGGAGCAAACGGG
rnacentral:rRNA from 1 species